ensembl:snRNA U2 U2 spliceosomal RNA
AUUGCUUCUGAGCCUUUUGGCUAAGAUUAAGUGUAGCAACUGUUCUUUUUUAAUUAAUUAAUUUAUUUAUUUGAAAGGCAGAGUUACA